UACGGAGGAUCCGAGCGUUAUCCGGAUUUAUUGGGUUUAAAGGGUGCGUAGGCGGCCUGUUAAGUCAGGGGUGAAAGACGGUAGCUCAACUAUCGCAGUGCCCUUGAUACUGAUGGGCUUGAAUGUACUAGAGGUAGUCGGAAUGUGACAAGUAGCGGUGAAAUGCAUAGAUAUGUCACAGAACACCAAUUGCGAAGGCAGCUUACUAUGGUAUUAUUGACGCUGAGGCACGAAAGCGUGGGGAUCAAACAGG
rnacentral:rRNA from 1 species